GUGACUCAUCGAGAUGAUCUGAGGAGGAGCCACCUCACAAGUGGAAGAGCUUCUUCACCCUAUUUUGGCCCGAGCUCCUGAGCCAGGAUCUCUGCACAACGUGUUGCUCAUCAGACACAGCAGCUGUCCUCAGUAACCAUGCUGCUGUCAGCCAGCCAGUAACCUCUGCUCUAGCCAUCAAACAUCACCACUAAAAGUUCAAGAUAGAAUGGAAGAAACUGAGACACGGAGCCAGGACUAAACCUGCGAGUCAGGCAGUGCAGAAGAGCUGGAAUUAGACCCAGAUACCAGUCCUUGGACCACCCAGUGGAAAAAGAGAGUCAAUUAGCUGCUAGCAGUCUCCCAACCUCUCCUGGUGCUACCAGAUCCUGCUGGUGCCAACAGGAGUGGA